UGCUGCAUGAUUUUGACGUGGUUAAUCAUUAAUGCCGUGCACGUGAACUUUCGAGUCUCUCAAACACUGGAGCGGCCGGCGCGCAGAGUUGCCAUGGAAACGGCGCGGGACCACUGCUACUGGUAAACAACAAAACUCCCUCUCUCGCUGUUGUUUCAACUUUUCACGGCUUUUUUCAGUAGUAACGAAAUAACCCAUAACAGAGAGAAAGCUCCUACUUCAACAUUUCUGAAGAAAGCUGCUGCCGGAGAAGUAACGUUAGGACACAGAACAAGUUUGUGACUGACUUAAUGAACCCAGUUGGUUUGGAUCAUGCUCAGAGAUGUAAGGGUUACAAAAAGUUAACCAGAACUCUUAUGAACUCCAUCUUGUCUUUCAAAGAGAUGGCAACAUGAACGGAAAAAAAGGGGUUGUUGGUGAAAAAAGAGCCUUGACCUACAAAAGGUGCAGCUAAUAAUUGACUAUGUCAAAAAGAGGCACCCAGGCAUCGGAGGCACUGAGAUCAAGGUCUGCAUGACACAAAAGUUAAGAGAUCUGAGGAGACGAGCAGAAAGAUGACUGUGGUGAAGAUGGAUGAAGAUGGAUGAGGCUUUCAAGUGCAGGAUCUACAAUUGUUUUCGUUUUGCCUGUUUUGAAUGUGAUGCACAGCCUAGGCCUAUAUAAUUGUGUUUUUUUGUCUGUUUUUAAUCAACAAUUAAACAAUGAAUCGACAAAAACAUGGACUGUA